GGUCGAUAGCUCAGCGCUAAAGCGUCGGGCUUGAGAUCUAAAGGUCGCGGGUUCUAGGCCCGCUCGAAGUA